UCAUCUCAACAGUAAUAAGGUAUGAAUGCAUCAACAUAAAUCAUAUCAGGUGCAAUAAAGUAAUCAACCGGAGGCCCUCUAUUAGCCCGGUUGAACCUAGAGCUCAAAAUCUAUCACUCUCACACUCUGCCGGAGUCACUCCGCGUGACCUGUACGGCCUUCUGCACAUAAGUUACGCUCUAGUGCUUCUCAUAAAUCAUCUGUGCACAUAAUCUAAGGUCACCCACCAGUCGGAAUCUCACUAACACUCUCGCGACUGGCCUGUCGUACCCACUCCGCGUGGACUGUACGACUAGCAUCUACUUGGAUCCAAGGCGAGCGUGCGAUGCGGUGAAUACUAUAAGCACUAAACUAUGGUGCAGGAUUUGAGCUCAAUAUACAUCAACAUCAUCAUAACAGAAAUAACUACUCACGUGUGCGUCCACCGCACCAUUUCAUACAUAUGCAUCAUAAAUCAAUUCUUACCUGUGCGUCCACCGCACCAAUUCAUACAUAUGCAUCAUAAAUCAAUUCUUACCUGUGCGUCCACCGCACCAAUUCAUACAUAUGCAUCAUAUAUUAAUUCAUGCAUGGCAUUUCAACUCACAUUUCUAUAUACUUUUCAUAUCAAUUCUAUGCAUGGUAUUUCACUUCCCGUUUUUCCACAUAACUCAUAUGCAUUUCAUUUUAAACAUAUUUUCAUUUCAAUUCAAUUUCUGGGAAACGUCAAGUUUAUAUAUAUACGGAAAACAAAACUGCCCACUCACCUGGAGUUCGUCCAACAAACUCCCUAGCACCACACACAUCAAGGCGUCACGACGAUCGCCGCCUAGAAUAGUAAUCAAAUCCAACCUCAGAAUUCAUAUCGAUAGAAUAUAUAACUUAUAUAAAAUACGUCACUACGUAGUUCGAUCCGGAAGAUCUGCCACUCAGAUUUUAAAUCCAUAACUUCCAGAGGUCCACAAUAUAUCUCUAGGACAACAUCCUAAAAUUUCAUCACCAUCCAACGGUCAGAUCUCCGUCAAUUAACAAAACUAAGUGACUGUUUACAUUCUAUUUUAUGAACUUACAACUCAAAUUCCGGAAGAUCCGUAAAUCGGAUUCCCAAUCCGUAAGUUCCUAUAAUCCUCAAAUAUUACGUAUUACAACGUAUCAAAGUUUGGUGACGAUCCAACGGUCGGAUCAUCAAUUCACAUUUUCACCUAAUGCGAAAAUUAUAAAACGUUAUUUGAACACCUAACCAACAAUCCUUAAUAACUUUCUCAUACGGUGCUCAAUUUGGGUAUAUGAAUAUACCAAAGUGAUCUACUCGACGUCACGAACGUCGACAUAUUUUUAGAUUAUUUUUUUUGAUGUGCCACGCGCCCCCCACGCGCCAGGACAAGCACGGGGACACGCGCCCCCACGCGCAUCAUCCCCAACCUUGGUUCGCCGGACUGGUUUUUCCGGCGACCGGAAAACUGGAGAAUUUUCAAAUGCUUCGUUCUCCUUCGUUUCUCAACCAUUUUCUUCGUAUAAUAUAUCAAAUUGAAGCCCUCAACAUGUAGAAUCAUAAUAUACUACUUUAAAGCUCUAAAAACUACGAAAUCUUACCGGAAAAAUUCCACAAGAACCGGCCAACUUUGAACGUGGUGAUCCCGACGUCCAAAACUUCCAAACAACAUACUCCGAGCUUCCUUGGGACUUCCUAAAGCUCACUGUGAGCUUAGUUUGGCCUAAAACACAACCAAUUCAAAGCUCAUGAACAGUACACUUUCACGGGGAGUUUAGAAUCUAGGUUUUCCGAAGUAAAACUUACCUGAAAUUGGUGUCUACGUG
rnacentral:lncRNA from 1 species